rnacentral:lncRNA from 1 species
GCAAACAAUAAUAACACACAUUCAUUAAUUUUCCCAUAUAAAUACAUCAUCUGUUAUGAACUAAUGACCAUCAAAAUUUCCUAUAAACUAAUGGAACUAAUUAAGUAUAGGAAACAUUAUGGUUCAUUUCCUAAGAGCAAAAUCUGCUCGCUUUAUUUUCUAGAAUUUGUCUUAAAGAGGCACAUCAUUUGCCUUGGCUCCUUGUAGUGGGCAACUACAUACACAGGCUCACAGCCUUCCACCAAGAUUAUUGCGUUCAUCUAGAACUUGAAAUCAAAGUCUUCCUUCUACAUCUCAUUGGAGAACAUACUCCACUUUGAAAAUCUACAAGUCAAAAUCCAUGGUUAAUAUUUCCGCACAAUAACUAGAGAACAUGGUAAUUUCUCUAAGCUACCUUCAAUAUCAUUUCAUACCAAAGCAACUAAAGAGAAUUCAUUAUCACCGAUGGGAAAAGGUGUACCUUUAGCUCCCCUCUUUUGUGUUUCAUGUAACUUCUCUCGCUAUAUCCAGAGAUACAUGAAAGGCGUAAGAAAUCAAAUGAUUAAGAACGGGGAGGACUCUCUUCACGUCAUUCCUGCAUAGAUGGAAGAAGUAAGAAAUCGGAUGAUUAAUAACAGGUAGCAGUGAAAGCAUUUCCAAAUCAGUGACAUGCUCAUGGUCCUUUAUUGUAGGCAAGCCACUUGAUAUCACAAACAACAAUUUAAUAUCUCCUUCAAUCGUUUCUUCACCAACCAUUCACUGAUAAACAAAAGAAAAUAAAACUUUCUUUCAAGCCUGCUAUCAAAAUAAAAAAAAUGUGUAACCAGUUCAUGAAAGUACUUUUUAGAAAACUACAAAACAAUAAUGAAGCUUAAUUAACUGCUGCACAUAAAGGACAUUACUGCUUCAAGAGCUUCUCUAUUUCCAUGAAUUAAAGCAGCACACAUUUUUUAAAGAUAUUAUUAAACUUACUGCAUAGUUCAAACCUGCGGACUACACACACACACAUAAAGAGAGGGGGAGGGGAGGGAGAGGCCAAGUGAGAGAGUGGGAUCUUAACAAUUUCGUUGCCGCCUGAAAAAAUAAUGCUCUGUAUAUUUCUAGUAACAAGCAUAAGUACAUCGCUAUAUAGCUUUGUACAUUGACUAGUAAUAUGCAAUGCUUGUCUAUCUUCUCUUCUUACAUGGUGGUGGUAUACACAAUAUUAUGGUUAUUCUUUUCACCUAACGAUUGCCUCAGAUAAUGUAUAUAGUUCAUAGCUUACAUGGUUUAAUAGAAUUGUGAAACUGUUUAAUGAAAAUACUUUUUAGAGCACUCAAACAAAUAAUGAUGGAAGUCAACAUAAUAGAUCCACUAAGCAAAUUACGUAUGGCAAUCUAGAUCAACAAAAUCUAUCAUGCAUCCAUGAUUUAUUAAAUUGUAAAAUAUUGAGCAGUAGGUGUAUAGUAUUCUGGAAUUUUAUAGAAUUACUAAAAUAUAUAGAAACGUGACUUUAGAAACCUCCUCUUCUCUUCUGAUAAGGGGAGGGGGAGAGGGGAGUGUGUCGGGAUAGAGGCUGUGGGAGAGGGGAGUGUGUUGCCUACAUAUAUGUGGAUUACAGGAGCAAAAGCAUGUAUGGUUAGUACACGAAUGGAACAAGCUACAUUGUCUGAUGAUUGUGCACCAGCAGGCACCGAAUGACAAGAGCCAGAGGUUACAUAGAAAAGACAUGUUACAGUGUACAGACGGACGGGAUAUAUGGGAGUGCUCUUUUGUUGCUUGUCUAAGUGCUAGAGCCUGAUUGUCAUUGGGAAAACCUCUCAAGGAAACAAGAUGCAUUUGGAAUGAAAUUAUCUGGGGAAAAUCAUGCUAUUCUCCAUGCGUGAUGCAGGUCAUGAAGUGAAGUUAAUCUCCAUGUGUAUCUAAACGUACGGAGUAUCAAAUAAAUACGAUGUGACCUAAUGAGGGCACAAUACAGAAAGAUCCAAUGAAUACAUGGUUUUUUGAGCAAUGACAUGGAGUACUAACCAGAUAAAGAAACCUUAACAAGUGGCAGCAGUAAAUCUAAUUUAUGGCACCAGACCAGCCAUCCAUGUGAACCAAAUUGGGCAACUUUUGAAAUUAUCGGAAUAAACUAGUCCAAUUCAUGGAGAAAAACUUUUUAGAAAAGUUCUCACCUUCCUCUUGUAGUUUUCAGUUUGCCUUCUGAU